CCUAAAUCCAAUUUUCAAAAAUCAUUUGAGGAGCCUAAAUUCCAUGAACUGUCAAUGAGAUUUUGGUUCCAAGUGUAACUCAAUUGACUUCAAUGGAAUUGCUCCUGAUUUAUUCAGAAUCAGAAUCAAUAUUUCAAUAAAGAAAGAGAAGCUGUCAUAUAUGAGAAAUCACUGUACUUAGAGCAGCUUUCGGAACACAAUGAAGCAGUCAUGGUGAAAAGCCCAUUCUCCAAUUCAUGAGAGCAACAUCAGCGAGAUUAAAGAGAACUAAGCACAGCAGCCUUUGUCAAUUUCCCAUCAGCUUCAAGUAUAUUUGCGAGCAUCUUCAAACAGGCAUCCACAAAGCAAUCUGCAGAAUUCAGCAUUAUGAAUGACUUCACAAACAUCAAAAUUCAGAAAUGAAUUACAGAGUAACUAUGCCUAUCUGUUUGCCUCUAAUGAAAUUCACCACCUUCACAGAAGUAUGCCAGAUUUAUGCAAAUAAUUAUUUCCACAUACAAAGAAAAAAAUCUCUUUCAUAUACAAAUUUCAUGCUGAGGGUUAAACUGAAUAUUUCCAUAAUGGUGCAUAAACCUUGUUAAGUAGGAAAUUACAUCUCACAUCCAGGCAGUCGCAGGGGACUAUUAGCUCAGUAUGCAAUAACAGUCAUCUGUAC